rnacentral:misc_RNA from 1 species
AAAUUUCCAACAGAAUGGUAUGGACACUUGCUUUGUUCUAUUUGUGGGGGUUGAGAUGCGGGUAAAGUCCCAGAACAUGCUCCGGCAUGAAGUCGUGCCGGGUAAGAAUUCCAGCAAUAGGAGGCCUCCCAGGUGUCUUCGGAACCACCAACAAGUGCCUCAAGCCAAGUGCAUGAAAGAGAAUUGCCGCUUUAGCUAGAGACAUUGAUUCUACCACUGUGUAGGGCGACGUGUUCGUAAUGGGAUGAAGAUCAACAAACAUUUCCAUCUCCUCCUCGUUGAAGUCCA